rnacentral:rRNA from 1 species
AGCGAACGCUGGCGGCAGGCUUAACACAUGCAAGUCGAGCGGGCACUUUCGGGUGUCAGCGGCGGACGGGUGAGUAACGCGUGGGAAUGUGCCCUCUGGUUCGGAAUAACUCAGGGAAACUUGAGCUAAUACCGGAUACGCCCGUUUGGGGAAAGGCUUGCUGCCGGAGGAUCGGCCCGCGUCUGAUUAGCUAGUUGGUGAGGUAACGGCUCACCAAGGCGACGAUCAGUAGCUGGUCUGAGAGGAUGAUCAGCCACACUGGGACUGAGACACGGCCCAGACUCCUACGGGAGGCAGCAGUGGGGAAUAUUGGACAAUGGGCGCAAGCCUGAUCCAGCCAUGCCGCGUGAGUGAUGAAGGCCUUAGGGUUGUAAAGCUCUUUUAUCCGGGACGAUAAUGACGGUACCGGAGGAAUAAGCCCCGGCUAACUUCGUG